UAAAGAUUUACAAAAUAAUACAAAUUAAGGGCUGAGACCCUGCCACAUGCUCUGCAUCAAGUUAUUUGCGGGGGAAAGUCAUGGUAAGAACACUGCAUGAGGAGGCAGAAGGCCUAGAUUCUGGUCCCCCAGGAAACCCCACUUAGCAGCUGUGCCCUAGGAAGAGCUUCCCAAGCCUCAGUUACCUCUCUGAAACUAAGGGGAAACUCUGUUAGCCUACUGGAGAAAAAUACCCAGUUCUCCUGUUUUCAGCACUUAGAAGAAACUCUCCCUCUUCUCAGGUGCAACUCUGAGGAGUAACUUCAGUGACCUUUCUUUUGAAUGAGGAAAAGCACUGACAUUGGCAACUAAGGCUCCUGUUGUGUGUUAGUAAACCUGCCCAAGGCAACUAGAUGUUCAGCUCGGUGAGCGGUGACUGGUUUUCCUUCCCUUCCAGAGUGCCUGUGCUUGCUUUAUUAGUAGACAAGGAUCAGAGGAACCGUCACCGCAGCAGGCGUUGAUAAAUUGUAGGUAAGAGGUUCUGCAUCAUCACAACUCGUUCCCCAUUUGAACCAAAAAUUCCAGCAAGCAGAAACUUCAAAAUAGAUGGAUAAGCAGCUUCUGGAGAGCCCUGUGAGAAUUAGAAUUAUGACACACUGCCUCUGACCAUGGCUGAAAGCUCAACUUGCCAGCUGAAGGGACGCUCCUGGCUGAGCCCCAGCACCCUCUGUUGGAGCUCCUAGUCAGCCUGGCCAAUAAGCAUUUCCCACCCAUCGGCCCAGCUUUAGCACAGCUGAGAGAAUUUGGUCCAGAGUCAAGUGCUUCUGAAAAUGUACACACAGAUCGGGACAGCCCUCUGCCUUCUGCCAAGACACCCGAGUGCCCUUGGCAAAAGAUGCUCACCCCUGCCCUAGUGUCCCUCCAGUUGGCAGAAACUGCUCCCUCUCUCCUCAGCAACAGCUGCAAGUCUGGGGCCUCCCACCCUGUGUGCAGGAGGAGUUGAGGUACUGAGUCAGCUCUUCACUGCAGAGGGAGGGGCACCAGGCGGAUUGCCCUCAUGGAUGCACCUCGCUGCCGCUUUUGGCGGGUAAUCAGGACCGAUUAUGCCCCUACUGGAAGAGGUGACUCAGACUCCAUAGUUUGGGGGGUGAUUUCACUGCUUUGGCAGCCUCAACUUAACCUUCACACUGGAUCUCAUCACCCCGGAAACAAAUGAUUUCAAGAACCAGAAACCCUGAUAAAUUGGAACCUCUCCUUCUCAACUAAUGUCAAGGAAUUAAAUCACUCUGGUAUUUUGCAAAGA